UGGGGAAUAUUGCACAAUGGGGGAAACCCUGAUGCAGCAACGCCGCGUGGGUGAAGGAGCGUUUCGGCGCGUAAAGCCCUGUCAGCGGGGAAGAAGAAAGACGGUACCCGACCAAGAAGCCCCGGCUAACUACGUGCCAGCAGCCGCGGUAAUACGUAGGGGGCGAGCGUUAUCCGGAAUUACUGGGUGUAAAGGGAGCGUAGACGGCGAGGUAAGCCUGAAGUGGAAGCCCGCGGCCCAACCGCGGAACUGCUUUGGGAACUGUUUUGCUGGAGUAUGGGAGGGGUAAGCGGAAUUCCUGGUGUAGCGGUGAAAUGCGUAGAUAUUAGGAGGAACACCAGUGGCGAAGGCGGCUUACUGGACUGUAACUGACAUUGAGGCUCGAAAGCGUGGGGAGCAAACAGG
rnacentral:rRNA from 1 species